UGAGCUACGAUUGAGCCACUACAUUCCA
rnacentral:piRNA from 1 species